AGAACUGAAGAAAGCCCUUAGAGGAGGAAGAAGAAGAGGGGCCCUCAUCUAAGAGAUGAACUAGAGCUAUAAAUGAGCCUGCUCUGUAUGACAAUGUCUUCCAGGCUCACCCAGAAACUGCUGCUUCCAGGAUGACCCAGGAAACAAUCAACCAGCUAUUUGCCUUUCACCACAAUUACCAAGGACGUAAUAACACAAAAGCAGACAUCAAAACAGGAGCUAAGAGUAUCUUGCCUGGGCCACCCUGCCAAGUAAGACAUGAAAAUAAAAACUUCUACCUCCAAGUCUACAGUUCUUUUACCUACACCAACUGGAUAAGCUGACACAAGACUUAAGAAUUAGAUUAUAAGUGGUGGGAGGAUGGGUGAAACAGAUGAUGGGGAUUAAAGAGGACACUUAUCAGGAAGCACACCGAGGAUUGCAAAGAAGUGCUAAAUCACUAUAUUGUACACCUGAAACUAAUAUGACACUAUAUGUUAAUUAUACCGGAAUUAAAAUUAAAAACUUUAUUUAAAAAAAGAGUUAAACUGGGCUGCACACUGGGCA